rnacentral:lncRNA from 1 species
CAGAGUUUCAGUUUGAGAAGAUGGAAAGUUCUGGAAAUGGAUGGUGGUGAUGGUUGCACAACAAUGUGAAUGUGCUUAAUGUACUGAACCAUGCACUUAAAAUGUUUAAAUGGCAAAUUUUAUGUUAGGUGUAUUUCACCACCAUUUUUUUUUUUAAAGAUCCUGGAAUUCCAAAUUUUUUUAAAAGAGAAAAAAUGACUUACACACACACACCAAUGAGUGAUCUCUUCAGCUGGCAGCUGGAACCAGACUUCAGGGGGAAAUUCUAGAUCAGACAGAUGUACCAGGAGCUAAACAAGCUUGAGUUUUAUCUGGGAAAUAGCUACUUCUGCUAGAAAGUUCUGGAAACAUGGAUUCCCCCAAACAGAAAACGCCAGCCUGAGACCUCAGACUGAGAACAAUUGCACUCUCUGUGAUUUUGCACUUGUCCCGGGGAAAACUGUGACGCAUGUAUCAAGACAUGUUCUCAAUUUACUGGCACACGUGCACCGAUGGCAUGCAGAAAUCCAGAUGUCAUCUUGGUAUUUAGUGUGACAUCGUCUCUGGCCUCCCUCCCUCCUGUUCCCCCAAAUCAGGAGUAGGUUCACACCACUCCCCCCGAGGGGCUGACAGCCACCAUGCCUGCUGGCCGUGGCUUGUCUCUUCCCUUCCCUCUCAAGCCACCCUCUCUGGGGCACCGGCCUGGUUUUGCAGGGUCGAUGGUCACAAGAACUCACUGAUGCUGAGCUGAAGACUGGACCCUCAAAGCAAGGUGGCAGGGAAUUCUCAUAAUUCCCCCUCCUCCUGUCUCAUUUCCUCACUUCCAUCUUGUGCUCCCUGGGAUCAUCACCCAAAUAAACUGCUUGCACUCUCACAAAAAGUUAAGUAUAGACGAAGGGCGGGUGUAUGCACGGCAGAGGGACAAAGGGGUGGACUGUGUGGACCGCCUGCCGGCCCAGCGUGUUGCCUAAGGCUGGAGAGGAUGUUUCUCUGAAUCCUCUCCCGGAGUGAGGCUGGGUUAGAGCUGGCCAACGUGAAGAACUGGUGGCAAGAUUUGGAAGGUGGAGUGAAGUGAGAGCCGGCCUUCUCGGGAGGCCCCGGCUCUGCCGACGUCUCCGUGAGCUGCUACUCCAGGCUCCUGGCGGCCAGAUGCGGUGACUUCUCUGGCUUCUCCAGUUUCCGCACGCACACCAGGCUCCAGGCUGGAUGACGUCUCUGUUUCCUGAUCCAACUCUGAGAGAGAGACGGAGAGGGCAAGGAGGCAGGAGGGGGAUGCUGCAGGGAAACCUAUGGACUCAAAUAGAAAAAAGCAGCAUAUCAACCAAUGGACCCUGUUUGGAUCCUGAUUCACACCCAGAGAAUUGUAAAAAGAAAUAAAUGAAAACAAG